rnacentral:rRNA from 1 species
UAGGGAAUUUUGCGCAAUGGACGAAAGUCUGACGCAGCAACGCCGCGUGUGUGACGAAGCCCCUCGGGGUGUAAAGCACUGUCAGUAGGGACGAAUUUUGACGGUACCUACAGAGGAAGCACCGGCUAACUCCGUGCCAGCAGCCGCGGUAAUACGGAGGGUGCAAGCGUUGUCCGGAAUCAUUGGGCGUAAAGAGUUCGUAGGCGGCAUGUCAAGUCUGGUGUUAAAUCCUGAGGCUCAACCUCAGAUCGGCACUGGAUACUGGCAAGCUAGAAUGCGGUAGAGGUAAAGGGAAUUCCUGGUGUAGCGGUGAAAUGCGUAGAUAUCAGGAAGAACACCGGUGGCGUAAGCGCUUUACUGGGCCGUUAUUGACGCUGAGGAACGAAAGCCGGGGGAGCGAAUG